rnacentral:rRNA from 1 species
AUGACAGCAAAGGCAUUGCUAUAUUAUAGCAGUCCUCCAUCCCUUAUCAUUCAAAGCAGACCGAAAUACACAACACGUACAUCAUUCAGAGCUAGUCGAUCGGCAAUGGCAGGUCAGGCCGAGAAAGUGUUCGUCCCCACCGACGACGAGCUGCUCCAGGCGCAGUCCGACCUGUGGCGCCACAGCCUCUGCUACCUCACGCCCAUGGCGCUCCGCUGCGCCGUCGACCUGGGCAUCCCCACGGCCAUCCACCGCCUCGGCGGCGCCGCGUCCCCGUCCGAGCUCGUCGCCGCCCUGUCCCUGCCCGCGUCCAAGCUGCCGUUCCUCGCCCGCCUGCUCCGCCAGCUCGCCACCGCGGGCGUCUUCACCUCCACCGACGCCGGAACGUACCGCCUCAACCCGCUCUCGUACCUCCUCGUGGACGGCGUCCGCAUCGACGGCGACGCCAGCCAGACGGCCAUCGUGCGCGCCGCUGCCUCGCGCUACUACGUCGAGGCCGCCAUGGGGCUGGCCGACUGGUUCAGGAAGGACUUCGAUGGACCCGUGCCCUCGCCGUUCGAGGACGUGCAUGGCGCGGCCAUCUUCGAGGAGAGCAUGGCGCUCCUCGACCCGGAGAUGGAUCAGCUGAUCCACGACGCGGUGGCUGCCCACGACCACAUGGGGAUCGGCCCCGUGCUCCGGCAGUGCGGUGAGCUCUUCGAGGGGCUUGAGACUCUCACUGACUGCGGUGGUGGUGAUGGGACUACGGCCAGGUCCAUCGUCGAGGCCUACCCGCACAUCAAGUGCACUGUGCUGGACCUUCCAAAGGUCAUGGACAAAGUUCUUCUUCCCGCUCAAGAAGAAGGAGCGGUUAAGUAUGUUUCCGGUGACCUGUUCCACGUCGUCCCACCUGCUCAAGCUGUGUUGCUCAAGCUUGUUCUGCACUUCUGGAGCGACGAGGAUUGCAUCAAGAUCCUCGCACAAUGCAAGAAGGCCAUUCCUCCCCGAGACGCGGGAGGAAAAGUCAUCGUCAUAGACAUUGUGCUUGGAUCGGUUUCUGCAGGGCCAAUGCUGGAAACCCAGCACCUCAUGGAUAUGCUCAUGCUCGUGAUGACGAGAGGCCGACAGCGGGAAGAGAAGGACUGGAGCGAGAUCUUCACCAAGGCGGGGUUCAGUGGCUAUAAGAUUGUCAAGAAGCUGGGAGCUCGAGCUGUCAUUGAGGUCUACCCGUAA